AGGAUAAUAGUUAAAAUAACAUUUGAUUUGCAUUCAAAAAUUAUUGAUUAUUCAAUUUAUCUUA
rnacentral:tRNA from 1 species